UGGUGUAUUUUCGUAAAACAUUUUGCAGCUUUCUGAGUCCAGAGGAACGGUUCUGCUGAGGAACAGAAGUAAACAAUUUCCAGGAUUAUAGAAUUUGUCUUUUCUGAGCACAGAACUGAACCCCAGCCGAUAAAACACACCACAUGGUGCAGCUCCGUGGAAUAUUAAUCUUCAUAAUCAGAGGAAAUUAUCAAACCUGAUUACCUUCAACACACACUUUAUUAGUGUCGUACUCCAGAAGACGUCUGACUCAUCACCUGCAGGAAAUAAAAGGGACUAAACUGUACUGCUCCUUGUCGCUGAUUGGAACCACCAGGUGAAAGACCCCAACAGUUCAGUUUCCUUUUCCUGAGAGUCGACCAGGAGCUGGAUAUUAAAGUUGUGUCGAAACAGAAUGGAACAGAACGUCUACACUUUAUGGC